rnacentral:tRNA from 1 species
GCAUAACUCCAUGGCUCAGCAGAGCAUCUGCUUGGCAUGCAGAAGGUCCCAGGGUCGAUCCCCGGCAUCUCCA